AUUGAACGCUGGCGGCAGGCUUAACACAUGCAAGUCGAGCGGUAGCACAGGGGAGCUUGCUCCCUGGGUUUCGAGCGGCGGACGGGUGAGUCACGUCUGUGAAACAGCUUGAUGGCUGGGGUUAACUACUGGAAACGGUGGCUAUUACCGCAUAUCUUCUCAAGACCAAAGAUGGAUACCUUCGGGCCUCUUUCCUUUCGCUUUUCCCAGAUGGGAUUAGCUAGUAGGUGGGGUAAUGGCUCACCUAGGCGACGAUCCCUAGCUGGUCUGAGAGGAUGAACAGCCACACUGGAACUGAGACACGGUCCAGACUCCUACGGGAGGCAGCAGUGGGGAAUAUUGCACAAUGGGCGAAAGCCUGAUGCAGCCAUGCCGCGUGUGUGAAGAAGGCCUUCGGGUUGUAAAGCACUUUCAGCGAGGAGGAAGGUGGUGAGCUGAAUACGUUCAUCAAUUGACGUUACUCGAAGAAGAAGCACCGGCUAACUACGUG
rnacentral:rRNA from 1 species